rnacentral:rRNA from 1 species
UGGGGAAUAUUGGACAAUGGGGGGAACCCUGAUCCAGCCAUGCCGCGUGUGUGAAGAAGGCCUUAUGGUUGUAAAGCACUUUAAGCGAGGAGGAGGGUACUGGUAUUAAUACUACCAGCUACUGGACGUUACUCGCAGAAUAAGCACCGGCUAACUCUGUGCCAGCAGCCGCGGUAAUACAGAGGGUGCAAGCGUUAAUCGGAAUUACUGGGCGUAAAGCGCGCGUAGGUGGUUCGUUAAGUUGAAUGUGAAAGCCCCGGGCUCAACCUGGGAACUGCAUCCAAAACUGGCGAGCUAGAGUAGGGCAGAGAGUGGUGGAAUUUCCUGUGUAGCGGUGAAAUGCGUAGAUAUAGGAAGGAACACCAGUGGCGAAGGCGACCACCUGGGCUCAUACUGACACUGAGGUGCGAAAGCGUGGGGAGCAAACAGG